UUUUCGUUUUUCCGUGUUCAAUCCAUUCAUCUUAUUUAAAAUUUUUUUACGAUUAAUUUUUUUAUUGUUACUAGAUGAUAAAAUAUAAAUAGUACUUUACACGUGACUAAUUUUUUUAAGUUUUUUAUAAAUUUUUUAAAUAAGACGAAUGGUCAAACGUUGGACACGGAAAAAC
rnacentral:pre_miRNA from 1 species